rnacentral:rRNA from 1 species
GAGUUUGAUCCUGGCUCAGAUUGAACGCUGGCGGUAUGCUUAACACAUGCAAGUCGAACGGAAACGAUACUAGCUUGCUAGUAGGCGUCGAGUGGCGGACGGGUGAGUAACGCGUAGGAAUCUGCCUGAUAGUGGGGGAUAGCCCGAAGAAAUUCGGAUUAAUACCGCAUAAUCUAUUCGUAGUAAAGUGGGGGACUUUCGAGCCUCACGCUAUCAGAUGAGCCUGCGUAAGAUUAGCUUGUUGGUGGGGUAAAAGCCCACCAAGGCGACGAUCUUUAGCUGGUCUGAGAGGAUGAUCAGCCACAUCGGGACUGAGACACGGCCCGAACUCCUACGGGAGGCAGCAGUGGGGAAUAUUGGACAAUGGGGGCAACCCUGAUCCAGCAAUACCGCGUGUGUGAAGAAGGCCUGAGGGUUGUAAAGCACUUUCAAUUGUGAAGAAAAGUUAGCGGUUAAUAACCGUUAGCCUUGACGUUAACUUUAGAAGAAGCACCGGCUAACUCCGUGCCAGCAGCCGUGGUAAUACGGAGGGUGCAAGCGUUAAUCGGAAUUACUGGGCGUAAAGCGUGCGUAGGCGGUUUAUUAAGUCAGAUGUGAAAGCCCCGGGCUUAACCUGGGAACUGCAUUUGAAACUGGUCAACUAGAGUAUGGUAGAGGAAAGUGGAAUUUCUGGUGUAGCGGUGAAAUGCGUAGAUAUCAGAAGGAACAUCAAUGGCGAAGGCAGCUUUCUGGACCAAUACUGACGCUGAGGAACGAAAGCGUGGGUAGCAAACAGGAUUAGAUACCCUGGUAGUCCACGCCGUAAACGAUGAUAACUAGCCGUUGGGGGGAUUUACCCUUUAGUGGCGAAGCUAACGCGUUAAGUUAUCCGCCUGGGGAGUACGGCCGCAAGGUUAAAACUCAAAGGAAUUGACGGGGACCCGCACAAGCGGUGGAGCAUGUGGUUUAAUUCGAUGCAACGCGAAGAACCUUACCUGGUCUUGACAUCCUGCGAACUUUCUAGAAAUAGAUUGGUGCCUUCGGGAACGCAGUGACAGGUGCUGCAUGGCUGUCGUCAGCUCGUGUCGUGAGAUGUUGGGUUAAGUCCCGUAACGAGCGCAACCCCUAUCCCUAUUUGCCAGCACAUUAUGGUGGGAACUAUAAGGAGACUGCCGGUGAUAAACCGGAGGAAGGCGGGGACGACGUCAAGUCAUCAUGGCCCUUACGACCAGGGCUACACACGUGCUACAAUGGGAAGGACAAAGAGCCGCGGAGCCGCGAGAUGUAGCUAAUCUCAUAAACCUUUUCGUAGUCCGGAUUGGAGUCUGCAACUCGACUCCAUGAAGUCGGAAUCGCUAGUAAUCGUAGAUCAGAAUGCUACGGUGAAUACGUUCCCGGGUCUUGCACUCACCGCCCGUC